UAAUGCGUCUAGCAGAAUUUUAAAAAUACCUCCACCUCUAGUUUUCUCCAGCAAGCUAAAAGAACAAUCCUAUUAACAUAGGAACUCCUAUGCUAAAACUACUAAUACGGAUCCUCCUCCUAGCACAUCUUUUUCUCAUCCAUUUGACAAUUAACAGACCAAAAAAGGAAAGAACACACCCUUCACUAUUCUAACCCCACUGUAAGUCCAACUCUGAUGUGCAAAAUUAAGGUCGAAAGUCUUAAAAGGAACUCGGCAAACACGAACCCCAACUGUUUACCAAAAACAUAGCCUUUAGCUAUACAAGUAUUAAAGGUACUGCCUGCCCAGUGAAUUUUUUUAACGGCCGCGGUAUCCUA
rnacentral:rRNA from 1 species